rnacentral:lncRNA from 1 species
CUCUAUUAUCUUUGCUCAAAGAGCAGACAGUGCUCUAGCUGUUUUCCCCUGCUUAGCUUUGAUCCCUGCAGCCAUGCUCAGCCCUUCCCCCAAGCCCUCCCUUCCAGAUGGAUUGAGGCUGUUGAGACUCCAGGGGUGUUCGGGGCUGGGAGCCUGCUGAGUGUUCCCUGUUCCCACCUCCAAUCUGCUCCAUCCUCCAGCUGCAUUUCAUUCCGGAUCUACCAGAGUCUUAUUCUGUCACCUAGGCUGGAGUACAGUGGUGCAAUCACAGCUCACUGCAGCCUCGAUCUCCUGGACUCAACUAAUCCUCCUGCCUCAGCCUUCUGGGUAGUUGAGACUACAGAUACAGAAGAUGAGAGAGAGAAAAAGAGAGAAAUUACAGAGUGACGGAGAAGGCAGACAUCAUGCAACAUGCUCAAGGGCUAUUCAUUUUAAGCUGAAACAUACAUGUGUAGAAAGCAUCCUUGUACUUAUAAUCCCAAUGACUAUGAAGAAAAAUAAUUUAGCCAAAUAGUUCCUAGAACAGGAAAAAUAAGGAAUUAUAUUUUGAGAUAAGAAGUUAAGCUCUAGUAUAACAAUGAUAUGGGUCAAAGAAAAAUGAAAACAAAUUUUAAAAACGUUGCAACAUGAAUAAAAGUUUCACCAAAUCGGGAGUCUAUUAUAAGCAUGUUUUGAGUUAUUUUCUUUCCCAAAGACUUCAUUUUUGUUUCAAUUUAUUUCAGUAGUAUACACUUCUGAAAAUAUUUAACUAAUGUCGUACUGGUUCUCGUAAAAGGUGAGGUGGAGCAAUUCCAUUAAGCUAUAGUGAGGUGAAGAGAGAAUAUCUGGUGAAUGAAUUUGAAAUAAGCUCCUUCGCGAUAUGCCCCUUCCAUAACCUCUGUAUCCUUGUCAUCCCAAACUGCCCACAUUUCGCUGAACUCCUUGCACUUCUCAGAGGACAUCUUACCUGUCAACCCACGGUAUCAGUUGGCUGGGGGAGGUCCCCAAAUACUGGUGAGACCCUGACCCCUGCUAAUGUCCAGGCACCUGACACCGAUAUAGAAGGAAUCCAAAGACGACGAGUCAGAAAACAGUGACUGUAUGAAGAUUUACUGCAAAGUGAAUCUCCACGGAAGUGCAGUUCAGGCCUACUCAAGAGAGAGACACUCCCAGAGGGGCUUGGGGCUGCUAUCUUUAUGGGUUUCUUUAGCCAAAGGGUGAAAUAUUCAUGAAGAUUUCUGGAAAAAAGGUGAAGAUUUCUUGGAACUGUGGUGCCACCCAUUUUUACACCAAAUAUGGGUGUUCCCAGAAGUGUCAUGGCAUUGGUGGGUAUGUAAUUUAGUAUGUUAAUGAAUGUACAGUGAAGUCCUCAUGAGACCUAGGUGAAAUCCAGCACCAUGUUGGGUCCAGUCAGCCUCAGCCAGCUUGGUCUACACCCUGGUUUGCAAAGUAUCAGCCCCUAGUUUAUGCAGCUAUUUCAACAGUUUCCUUUUUGCUAGUCAUGUGAAACUGCUGCCUAGAAUUUUCUAUUCUCCUACCACCACCCUGUAUUAUUCCUGUCUCACUACCCUUCAACUUCCACCCCCUUUUCCUCUAGAUACUUGUAUAGUACUCUUCAGACAUAGGAGUGUGGAAAUCGUCCCCUGCGUCCCAGUCUGAGACAGGUAGUUCUUUUUUUUGCCAUCGCAUCUCAUGCACGCCUCUCUGAAUCACUGGUUUUCUUGACUGUCUCCCUCAGCAGAGACACCACGGAAGGCAUCUUAAUUGUACAUUCAGCAUUUAGCAUAUGGAAGCAUUAAAGAUGUUAUGCAAAAAACAUAAGC